rnacentral:rRNA from 1 species
GUCCACGCCGUAAACGAUGGAUACUAGCUGUUGGGAGCAAUUUCAGUGGCUAAGCGAAAGUGAUAAGUAUCCCACCUGGGGAGUACGUUCGCAAGAAUGAAACUCAAAGGAAUUGACGGGGGCCCCGCACAAGCGGUGGAGCAUGUGGUUUAAUUCGAUGAUACGCGAGGAACCUUACCAAGGCUUAAAUGUAGUUUGACCGUUUUGGAAACAGAACUUUCGCAAGACAAAUUACAAGGUGCUGCAUGGUUGUCGU